UGGGUAUAGUUCCCAAGCUGCUACUCUCC
rnacentral:piRNA from 1 species